rnacentral:rRNA from 1 species
AUUGAACGCUGGCGGCAGGCCUAACACAUGCAAGUCGAGCGGAUGAAGGGAGCUUGCUCCUGGAUUCAGCGGCGGACGGGUGAGUAAUGCCUAGGAAUCUGCCUGGUAGUGGGGGAUAACGUCCGGAAACGGGCGCUAAUACCGCAUACGUCCUGAGGGAGAAAGUGGGGGAUCUUCGGACCUCACGCUAUCAGAUGAGCCUAGGUCGGAUUAGCUAGUUGGUGGGGUAAAGGCCUACCAAGGCGACGAUCCGUAACUGGUCUGAGAGGAUGAUCAGUCACAUUGGAACUGAGACACGGUCCAGACUCCUAGGGGGGGCAGCGGGGGGGAAUAUUGGACAAUGGGCGAAAGCGUAAUCCGGCCAUGCGGGGUGUGUGAAGAAGGUCUUCGGAUUGUAAAGCACUUAAAUUUGGGAGGAAGGAAAAUAAGUUAAUACCUUGGUUUUUUGACGUUACCAAAAAAAAAAGCCCCGGCUAACUUCGUC